UACGUAGGUGGCAAGCGUUGUCCGGAUUUACUGGGCGUAAAGCGCGCGCAGGCGGCUGAUUAAGUCCGAUGUGAAAUCUCCCGGCUCAACUGGGAGCGGUCAUUGGAUACUGGUCGGCUUGAGGGAGGCAGAGGAGAGUGGAAUUCCCGGUGUAGUGGUGGAAUGCGUAGAUAUCGGGAGGAACACCAGCGGCGAAGGCGGCUCUCUGGGCCUUUCCUGACGCUGAGGCGCGAAAGCGUGGGGAGCAAACCGG
rnacentral:rRNA from 1 species